UACGGAGGGUGCAAGCGUUGUCCGGAUUUAUUGGGUUUAAAGGGUGCGUAGGCGGCCCGUUAAGUCAGUGGUGAAAGCCUCCAGCUCAACUGGAGAACUGCCAUUGAUACUGGCGGGCUUGAGUACAGACGAGGUUGGCGGAAUUGAUUGUGUAGCGGUGAAAAUGCAUAGAUACAAUCAAGAACACCGAUUGCGUAGGCAGCUAACUAGGCUGUAACUGACGCUGAGGCACGAAAAGCGUGGGGGAGCGAACAGG
rnacentral:rRNA from 1 species